AUUGAACGCUGGCGGCGUGCUUAACACAUGCAAGUCGAUCGGUAACAGGUGUAGCAAUACAUGCUGACGAGAGGCGGACGGGUGAGGAACGCUUGGGAAUCUGCCUAUCAGCGGGGGACAACCCGGGGAAACUCGGGCUAAUACCGCAUACGCUCUACGGAGGAAAGCCGGGGACCGCAAGGCCUGGCACCGAUAGAUUAGCCCAAGUCGGAUUAACUAGUUGGCGGGGUAACGGCCCACCAAGGCGACGAUCCGUAGCUGGUCUGAGGGGACGAUCAGCCACACCGGAACUGAGACACGGUCCGGACUCCUACGGGAGGCAGCAGUGGGGAAUAUUGGACAAUGGGGGAAACCCUGAUCCAGCGACGCCGCGUGGGUGAAGAAGGCCUGCGGGUUGUAAAGCCCUUUCGGUAGGGAAGAAAUCUCUUGCUCUAACAAAGCAGGAGUUUGACUUAACCUACAUAAGAAGCACCGGCUAACUCUGUGCCAGCAGCCGCCGUAA
rnacentral:rRNA from 1 species